rnacentral:rRNA from 1 species
GAUGGACGCUGGCGGCGUGCCUAAUACAUGCAAGUCGAGCGAAUGGAUUAAGAGCUUGCUCUUAUGAAGUUAGCGGCGGACGGGUGAGUAACACGUGGGUAACCUGCCCAUAAGACUGGGAUAACUCCGGGAAACCGGGGCUAAUACCGGAUAACAUUUUGAACCGCAUGGUUCGAAAUUGAAAGGCGGCUUCGGCUGUCACUUAUGGAUGGACCCGCGUCGCAUUAGCUAGUUGGUGAGGUAACGGCUCACCAAGGCAACGAUGCGUAGCCGACCUGAGGGGGUGAUCGGCCACACUGGGACUGAGACACGGCCCAGACUCCUACGGGAGGCAGCAGUAGGGAAUCUUCCGAAAUGGACGAAAGUCUGACGGAGCAACGCCGCGUGAGGGAUGAAGGCUUUCGGGUCGUAAAACUCUGUUGUUAGGGAAGAACAAGUGCUAGUUGAAUAAGCUGGCACCUUGACGGUACCUAACCAGAAAGCCACGGCUAACUACGUGCCAGCCGCCGCGGUAA